rnacentral:piRNA from 1 species
UUCCAUGGUGUUUACUCUCAGU